UGAGGAAUAUUGCGCAAUGGAGGCAACUCUGACGCAGCCAUGCCGCGUGCAGGAGGACGGCCCUACGGGUUGUAAACUGCUUUUCUUAACUAAGAACCGUGGAUACUCUUAUCCACCUGACUGGUUUUGGAAUAAGCAUCGGCUAACUCCGUGCCAGCAGCCGCGGUAAUACGGAGGAUGCAAGCGUUAUCCGGAUUCACUAGGUUUAAAGGGUGCGUAGGCGGAAUAAUAAGUCAGUGGUGAAAUCUUGCGGCUCAACCGUAAAAUUGCCAUUGAUACUGUUAUUCUUGAGUAUGGUUGAGGUAGGCGGAAUGAGUAAUGUAGCGGUGAAAUGCUUAGAUAUUACUCAGAACACCGAUUGCGUAGGCAGCUUACCAAUCCAUCACUGACGCUGAGGCACGAAAGCGUGGGUAGCAAACAGGAUUAGAUACCCCGGUAGUCCACGCCGUAAACGUUGAUUACUCGUUGUUGGCAAUACACCGUCAGCGACUGAGCAAAAGCAUUAAGUAAUCCACCUGGGGAGUACGUCAGCAAUGAUG
rnacentral:rRNA from 1 species